AGCGAACGCUGGCGGCAGGCCUAACACAUGCAAGUCGAACGGAUCCUUCGGGAUUAGUGGCGGACGGGUGAGUAACACGUGGGAACGUGCCCUUUGGUUCGGAACAACUCAGGGAAACUUGAGAUAAUACCGGAUGUGCCCUUCGGGGGAAAGAUUUAUCGCCAUUGGAGCGGCCCGUGUCUGAUUAGCGAGUUGGUGAGGUAAAGGCGCACCAAGGCGACGAUCAGUAGCUGGUCUGAGAGGAUGAUCAGCCACAUUGGGACUGAGAAACGGCCCAAACUCCUACGGGAGGCAGCAGUGGGGAAUCUUGCGCAAUGGGCGAAAGCCUGACGCAGCCAUGCCGCGUGAAUGAUGAAGGUCUUAGGAUUGUAAAAUUCUUUCACCGGGGACGAUAAUGACGGUACACGGAGAAGAAUCCCCGGCUAACUUCGUGCCAGCAGCCGCCGUAAAAC
rnacentral:rRNA from 1 species